rnacentral:rRNA from 1 species
UACGUAGGGGGGCUAGCGUUGUCCGGAAUCAUUGGGCGUAAAGAGCGUGUAGGCGGUCCGGUAAGUCCGCUGUGAAAGUCGGGGGCUCAACCCUCGAAUGCCGGUGGAUACUGCCGGGCUAGAGUCCGGAAGAGGCGAGUGGAAUUCCUGGUGUAGCGGUGGAAUGCGCAGAUAUCAGGAGGAACACCAACGGCGAAGGCAGCUCGCUAGGACGGUACUGACGCUGAGGCGCGAAAGCGUGGGGAGCGAACAGG